UGACAGUCCAGACCUUGAGUAAUCACUAUUUUUAUUAAGUGCCAGCCCUAUGUUUAUGACUUAGGAUUCACUAUGGUUCUCGCAACACCCUGUAGCAAUCUGGAACACUCCUGACUGGCUCUUCAUCCCUCCCUGAUCUGAGUUGGCAGUCAGUCCACCAGCAGCUGUGGAGGAGGGCUAUGCACUGGGAAACUGACAGCAAGGGCACUGAAUCUUCUGCUCCAGACCCUCCUUCUCCGAGAACCUUCCAAGAAGGCAGGUGCCAAACGCUGUGAGUGCUCAUGCAGGGUCCUCCGGGGAGGAGGGAGAUGAAUGUCUCUGUGAGAUGCUCAGGAAAUUGUCCCCACCCACCAACCUGGCUGAGCCGUUGGCUGUGGGGCACCUCCAUGCUGUGCUGCACACUCCGCUCAUCUUCAUGAGAUCACCUUCCUGCAGGCGCUAACCCUCUGAUUCUUUUGAAAAGGAGAAAUCAGGUCUUGGGAAAGCCGGUGAUUUUCCUACAAGCAGCUGCAGGUAGUAUUCACACUCAGGUCUUUUGGCUUCCAGGCCAAAAGAGGUCUCUCUAGAAUACACCAGUACUCACUGAGCACAUACUAUGUGCAGAGACUGCUCUGGGUACAGGGGACAUAGCCAUGGACAGAACAGACUUCUCCAAAGGCCCUUAAGGCCAGGGCACUGGGGCUGCUUACUCCAUCUGCAGAGUUUGUGGUUAGACUGACCAGGCGCUCAGGUCUGGACGGGAAGCCCCGCACUGCAAUAAGGAACUGUGGCUGCUCUUUCUUCUCACAUCCAGGUCUGGGACUAGCUUCUCAGCCCCAGAGACAAAAGGGUACUUCCCAAACCCACCCCACUCAGUGACACUGGGCCAUCUCUGAGAACACAGCAAGUCCCUGUGGCCCCAGCCCACUGCCAUAGCGCUGUCUGCCAGAAUCCACACCUGCCUCCUCUUCACCCACCUACUGACUCCUGGAGAGAGAAAGACAAGUCCUUGGCCUUUAUGACACUAACUGCAAUAAGUCAGACACAGCUGCAGCAAACUCAGUGUCAUCAGAGGAGACACAAAAUGUAGGGAGUGUGUCUAUGAGGAAGUUUUCAUAUUUGCUGCUCACACUACAAGCUUCUCACUGCUGUUCACACCACAAGCUUCCUCUUCAUUUUGUUUAAGAAAGGUGGAUCCUAUCCCAGUUACUCCAAAACUCUGCAGUGCCAUACUGUGAAAUCCUAAUCCGACUGUACCAAAGGCCAGAGAGACCUCGGCUUGGCCCCAGCUGCCUUGCUUACUAUCCUCCUCACAGGAUCAUUUUGAGGUUGAAAUUGAAGCAUUAAGCUCACAUAGGCACCAUGUGCAUUUUAAAGCUUUUCCACUCUCUGUCCUCUCCACCAGCAUUGUUUGUGCUCCUGUUCACACUUAACACAUCUGGUCCUCGUCAUCUGUGGACCCCUUUGCCUUCACACUGUCCUCAGAGCCUGCUCAGCUGCCCAGCCCCAGUGCCUGGUCCAGAGGUCAGUUCACAGCAAGCACUCAGCAUUCAUUCUGGAUCCGUGUCUCCCAAAAUGCAGUCCCGGAACAGCAAUGCUACCCAGCCAUCUGAGGCCAAUUCAUUUGUCAUGUAAGGCAGGCACCAAAAGAUGGCACAUCCUUACCUAGAAAUCAGUCAUUUAUGUGUCAGGGAGGAAGACAAGAGUGUUCACUCUGAUCCCUGACUCCAGUCAGUUACAGCAGGAAAUACUUUUUCAAAACUUGUAACUGUGGCUGAAAAGCCUUGACACAAGUGGGGGAGGACACAAAGCAACUCUUCAAAGUUGGGAGGCUUCACACAGUUCAAAGCCCAGUGUAGAUCUGGAGUGCCUUCACCAAGGACUAUUUGGUCUAUGAGUGGCUCUCUUGUAUUUUACUCAAACAAGCUCCAAAAAACUUCCUCAUUCAGGUAGUCACAAGCCACCACUUUUUAGAGAUGAGGAAACUGUUGCUCAGAAGGUUUAAGUGACUCAGAGAUAGUAAGUGGAGAAUUGGACACAUGCUUGCAUGCACAUACACAUGCACACGCACGCGCAUGUGCGCACACACACACAAACACACACUCCACCCAAUGUGAGGAUGGAUACAAUCAGACCUUCAAUCCCAGUCACUCACAUACCUGAAGACACCUGUCUUUCUGUCUCUGUAUCCAUCUGCCCUGCAAAUCUAUACCCUCCUGUCAGUAUUUGGUGGAUGGAAACCUCAGUUUCUCUCGUCAGCUCUCUUCUUUGACAAGAGAAUCGAGCCAUCCUGGCUCUGUCUUUCUGCAGCUUAAAAAAAUAAAAUAAAUAAAUAACCACACACACAGAUAUUGUGCACACACCCCCUAGUGGCCACAUGUGGAGGCACAUGCCCCACAAAGUUUGCGUUGGGGUUGAUAACCACUUGAGUUUGAGAAGGAAACCCCAGAUAGGAUUGCAACUCCAUCCUAGGAAGGAGGAUGGUGAAAGAUGAUCUUAUGUGGAAGACAGUGAAAAUGGAAAAAGACAAAGAAAAGGGGAGGAGAAAGAAAAAUGUGAUGGAGAAAAAGAAGGCAGGAGAACCAAAGGAAGAUUAAAGAAAGGUAUAUAGAAUAGGAGGAGUGAGAGAAAAAAAUAAGGCAAGCUUAAAGGAGGGACGUUUCUCAAUGUGAAGUCUUUCUCUAUUUCAAAUAUAAGCACAAAAAGUAAUGAUGGAAAAUAAUGCGAAUUGGUGUGUCCAGGGUCAGCUGGCCAUCCUGUACACAGGCAGGUGGGGACAGACGAGCCAAGGAUGAGAGGUGACAGGGCCCGUAUCUGACCCCGUCACUGCCUGACUUGGUAAUAUUUUCAGAAUCCAAAGCUUUCUCUGUCCCUAUUUCUGAGCUUGUAAAGGGUAGCUAAUAGCAGUUGUUUGUUGAGUUCUGAUGAGAACAAUAAAGAUUUGCAGAGAAAACCCUGAAAAGUGCUCUAAGCUCUUGGACAUAACCAUCACAGAAAUGUGUUUUGUUAUUUUGCUCAAUGCAGCAAAAACCCUCCAUCCUUUGCUUCCUGGUGUAAAAGGUUAUAUGUGAUGCUGGAGUGCCAAAGUACUUGGUGUAUUUCAACAGUGCAUCAAGUUAUCACCACCUCUGGUGCUUUGGAAGAUGCUGUGAUUUGGAAAGCACUGUCGAAAUGUAAAACAUUAUUGCCACAGUAGUAAAAAUAUCCGUGUCCAUCUCCUAGUCCACUAUUUCUUGUCAGGAUGCAUAGAGAUACACAUGAAACAAUUCUGUACACAUUAGUAGAAUGUUUUACAGCAAAACUGCACAUAUCUGAGUUUGGCAAAAUAAUCAGAAACAAAAUAUUUCUGUCAGUGUCAAGUUACCCUUAGUGUCCGAACAGCUACCAAGGGGGUGAUAAAGUGUUUAGUGCCCACUGCAAAUGUGAACACAUCCGGGUUUCAUAGAAAAAUGCCAGCUUGGGCUUGUGUUUUUCUUUAGUUAAGAAAGGAAGAAACAAACUUAACAAAAAUGGCUGUGGAAAAAGAAUGGACAUAAAGCUGAGAUUGUGGACUUAAGUUAGAUCACUGAAUUACAAGAGAAACAUUUUUUCUCAAAAUCAAAGUCGACUUUUGUUGGUGACUCAACUGCAAACUCACUGAACGUCUCUGUGAAUUUCAUUCUUUGGCGUUUCUCUAGCGUAGCACUAGCCUUCCCACUAAUAUCAGCCCUCAUCACCACCAUGUCUGGAUUUAUACCAAGAGGAGACACAAUGCCUCAAAAUCCAUUGCUUGUUGUUAAUGGAGAGAUUGCGGUUACUGGUUAUACCUGGGCAACCUCGAUCAACUUUAUCACACCUCUAAUGACAGCUGGCAUGUGCAACGCUCCAGCUUCCUCUGGCAAAUCUUAUCCUGAGAGCAAAUUCUCUCUCAGUCUUCGUAGCCAUACCUGUUGGUCUGCAAGCAUUAGCAACUUAGAUAUACAGACUAUCAUGAUCUGUGCACAGUUCAAGAGUAAGUUACCCUUGAGCAUAUGGCGGUUGAGGCCACAAGUUAAGGAGUCUGAUACCACUGUGCGCCUGCCCCUAAUAAUCUGGGAGCUUUGGGGCAAGGCAGCCUCUUUGUGCCUCUCUUUCUGCACUUGCAAAAUGAAGGCAGUAUUACCCCCUCCCCUGCAAACAGUUACUUUAGGACCUCCAUGAGUGGCAUGUAUUUAAAGUGUUUAUCACAGAACCUGACACGCCAGGGGCAUAGAAUGGGUGCAGCAUCAGUAGAGCAGCACUGUCCAAAAUUAAUGUGAGCCACAUGUUUAAUUUUAAAUUUUCUAGAAGCCAGUUGACAAUGUGAAAAGAAACAGAUGAAGUUAGUUUCAAUAGGAUUAUUUAAUCCAAUGUAUCCAGAAUACUGUUUCAAUAUAUAAUCAAUAAUUUUAAAAUA
rnacentral:lncRNA from 1 species